rnacentral:rRNA from 1 species
UACAGAGGAGCCAAGCGUUGUCCGGAUUGACUGGGCGUAAAGCGCACGCAGGCGGUUGCGCGCGUGGGGUGUGAAAUCUGGCCGCUUAACGGCCAGGCGCCAUCCCAUACGGCGCGACUGGAGUGAUGCAGAGGUCGAUGGAAUUGCCGGUGUAGUGGUGAAAUGCGUAGAGAUCGGCAGGAACACCCAGGGGGAAACCAGUCGACUGGGCAUCUACUGACGCUGAGGUGCGAGAGCGUGGGGAGCGAACAGGG